GGGUUUAAAGGGUGCGUAGGCGGGCGUAUAAGUCAGUGGUGAAAUCCUGGAGCUUAAACUCCAGAACUGCCAUUGAUACUAUAUGUCUUGAAUAUGGUGGAGGUAAGCGGAAUAUGUCAUGUAGCGGUGAAAUGCAUAGAUAUGACAUAGAACACCUAUUGCGAAGGCAGCUUACUACGCCUAUAUUGACGCUGAGGCACGAAAGCGUGGGGAUCAAAACAGGAUUAGAUACCCUGGUAGUCCACGCCCUAAACGAUGAUUACUCGACGUGUGCGAUAAAACGGUACGCGUCUGAGCGAAAAGCAUUAAGUAAUCCACCUGGGAAGUACGACCGCAAAGGUUGAAAACU
rnacentral:rRNA from 1 species